ACUCCUACGGGAGGCAGCAGUAGGGAAUCUUCCGCAAUGGGCGAAAGCCUGACGGAGCAAUGCCGCGUGAGUGAUGAAGGUUUUCGGAUCGUAAAGCUCUGUUGCCAGGGAAGAACGCUUGGGAGAGUAACUGCUCUCAAGGUGACGGUACCUGAGAAGAAAGCCCCGGCUAACUACGUGCCAGCAGCCGCGGUAAUACGUAGGGGGCGAAGCGUUGUCCGGAAUUAUUGGGCGUAAAGACGCGCGCAGGCGGUCAUUUAAGUUCUGGUGUUUAAUCCCGGGGCGUCAACCCGGACUCGCACUGGAAACUGGGUGACUUGAGUGCAGAAGAGGAGAGUGGAAUUCCACGUGUAGCGGUGAAAUGCGUAGAUAUGUGGAGGAACACCAGUGGCGAAGGCGACUCUCUGGGCUGUAACUGACGCUGAGGCGCGAAAGCGUGGGGA
rnacentral:rRNA from 1 species